CUGAGUGUUGGUGACCUGUGCUGUGAAAUAGAGAGGGACACCUACGACCUGCUGUCAGAGCCCAUCAAGAUUCCUGUGGCUGCAUUUGAAUAGCAAAAAUCCUGGCAAGAGGAGAUGAAGAUCUGGGCUAAAAACUUCACUGAGGCUAACAUCUCAGGAGGACCCUGGAGUCACAUGAGCCUGGUGGGAAUCUGCUUUGCCUCCUACCAGCUAUGUAGCGCUGGUCACACAACUUCACCUUCCUAAGCCUCAGUUUCUUGCUUUUAAAUGGAGAUGAUGAUACCUAUUUUGCAAGGUUGCUGAGUUGAUUGCAUGAGAUCACCGACGUGCACAGUAAUAAAAUAGAAAAGGC
rnacentral:lncRNA from 1 species